UCCGCUGGGGCUCGGCUCGGGCGCGGGCGCGGGCGCGGGGCGCGGGGCUGGCCCCGGGCGGAGCAGCGGCCGCUCCGGACAUGUCGGGCCCUAGCGCCGGCUUCUACCGGCAGGAGCUGAACAAGACCGUGUGGGAGGUGCCGCAGCGGCUGCAGGGGCUGCGCCCGGUGGGCUCGGGCGCCUACGGCUCCGUCUGUUCGGCCUACGACGCGCGGCUGCGCCAGAAGGUGGCGGUGAAGAAGCUGUCGCGCCCCUUCCAGUCGCUGAUCCACGCGCGCAGGACGUACCGGGAGCUGCGGCUGCUCAAGCACCUGAAGCACGAGAACGUCAUCGGGCUUCUGGACGUCUUCACGCCGGCCACGUCUAUCGAGGACUUCAGCGAAGUGUACUUGGUGACCACCCUCAUGGGCGCCGACCUGAACAACAUCGUCAAGUGCCAGGCGCUGAGCGACGAGCACGUUCAGUUCCUGGUUUACCAACUGCUGCGCGGGCUAAAGUACAUCCACUCGGCGGGGAUCAUCCACCGGGACCUGAAGCCCAGCAACGUGGCUGUGAACGAGGACUGUGAGCUCAGGAUCCUGGACUUCGGGCUGGCGCGCCAGGCGGACGAGGAGAUGACCGGCUAUGUGGCCACGCGCUGGUACCGGGCACCUGAGAUCAUGCUAAACUGGAUGCAUUACAACCAGACAGUGGACAUCUGGUCCGUGGGCUGCAUCAUGGCUGAGCUGCUCCAGGGCAAGGCCCUCUUCCCGGGAAGCGACUACAUUGACCAGCUGAAGCGCAUCAUGGAAGUGGUGGGCACACCCAGCCCCGAGGUUCUGGCAAAGAUCUCCUCAGAACACGUGAGUUGGUGCCUGCCAGCCGGCAGCUCCCUCUGCUGGUCCAGUCCCCAGGCUCUCGGGGAGAGGGUGGUGUGGAAAUGUGGGGACGAUAUGGGGAACAUGGGAUGUGGUGGGAUAGAGACUACGUCAGGUGCCCAAUCCCUGCAGGGGAAACAGGAGAAGGGGGAAGACGGUCCUGACACCAGGGACAGUGAGUGCAAAACCAUGACCCCAGCAAGCAGUGACUGGCCAGGGCAGUGGGGGCGGGCUGGGUGCCCAGCAAGCAGUGCCUGGCCAGGGCAGUGGGGUUGGGCUGGGUGGAGGGAGUGUACUUGGACCCAGCUCCUGCAGGCGUUAGGGGCCAAGUGAGGAGCUAGUCACCGGACCCUAUGUGGAGGGAGUCACUGGUCUGCCUGUGCCCUUGUCCUGGCCUGUUGGAGUGAAUUGAGUCUGGGGGCUUGCCAAGAGAAGCCCCAGUUUGGGGCCAGGGAGGCAGAGAGUGAGCAGCCUCCCCAGGUGUUCUCGUGUGCCCUCCAGGCCCGGACAUAUAUCCAGUCCCUGCCCCCCAUGCCCCAGAAGGACCUGAGCAGCAUCUUCCAUGGAGCCAACCCCCUGGCCAUAGACCUCCUUGGAAGGAUGCUGGUGCUGGACAGUGACCAGAGGGUCAGUGCCGCCGAGGCACUGGCCCACGCCUACUUCAGCCAGUACCACGACCCUGAGGAUGAGCCAGAGGCCGAGCCGUAUGAUGAGAGCGUUGAGGCCAAGGAGCGCACGCUGGAGGAGUGGAAGGAGCUCACCUACCAGGAAGUCCUCAGCUUCAAGCCCCCAGAGCCACCGAAGCCACCUGGCAGCCUGGAGAUUGAGCAGUGAGGUGCUGCCCGGCAGCCCCUAAGAGCCUGUGGAGGGGCUUGGGCCUGCACCCUUCCACAGCUGGUCUGAUUUCCUCAAGAGGCACCUCCCACACUCCUAUGGUCACUGACUCCUGGCCUAGGACCCCUCGCCUUCAGGAUAAUCUACACACAUGUAUGCAUGCACAAACAUGUGUGUACAUGUGCUUGCCAUGUGUAGGAGUCUGGGCACAAGUGUCUCUGUGCCUACCUUGGUCCUCCUGCUCCUUUCUGGCUACUGCGCUCUCCAUUGGGACCUGACUGUGUGGUCCUGGAUGCCAAAGGGGUUCCCCUGCGGAGUUCCCCUGUCUGUCUCAGGCCGACCCACUGGGGAGCGUCAGCCUUGGGGUCUCUUCUGUCCCAGGGCUCUCUGGAGGGCACGCUGGGGCCGGGACCCUGGGAGACUCAAAGGGAGAGGUCUCAGUGGUUAGAGCUGCUCAGCCUGGAAGUAGGGGGCUGUCCUGGUCAGUGCUGAGACCCACAGGUCUAAGAGGAGAGGCAGAGCCAGUGUGCCACCAGGCUGGGCACAGACAACCACCAGGUGUCAAAUGAGAAAAGCUGCUGGAGCCUUGUGUUCACCCGUGGGUGUGUGUGGGCACAUGUGGAUGAGCGUGCACUCCUCGUGUUCGUAUGUCAGGGCACAUGUGAUGUGGUGCAUGUGAAUCUGUGGGCGCCUAAGGGCCAGCAGCCAUGCCUGGCAAGAAGCUGGAGCUGGGGCGGGCGUGCUGUUGCCUUCCCUCUCCUCAGUUCCUGAUGCCGUGAGGGGUGUUUCAGACUGGGGGCUCCAGUGGGUGAAAGGGCAGCCACAUGAGCGCCAGCAGGGGCUUUCUCCUCGGAUAUGUGACCCACAGCAGGCUCCUGAGGCUGGGGGUGACUGGGUGGUUUGGCCUUGAGGACACUAAGGCAGGCAGCACACGCGGGUGUGAACUUGGACUUGGACACUUGUGCGCCACACCCUGGCCCGCUCUCUACCUCUAUCCACCGUUGUGGCCCUGCAGCCGGAGAUCUGAGGUGCUCUGGUCUGCGGGUCAGUCCUAUUUCCUUGUCCCACAAUGGAGCUGAUCCAGUAACCUCAGAGACAGGACCCUGCCCAGAGCUGAGUUGGGGGUAUGGCUCUGCCCUGGAAAGGGGGUGACCUCUUGCCUCGAGGGGCCCAGGGAAGCCUGGGUUUCAAGUGCCUGCACCAGGGGUGCACAAUAAAGGGAGUUCUCU